rnacentral:rRNA from 1 species
GACGAACGCUGGCGGCAGGCCUAACACAUGCAAGUCGAGCGCCCCGCAAGGGGAGCGGCGGACGGGUGAGUAACGCGUGGGAACGUACCCUUUUCUGCGGAAUAGCCCAGGGAAACUUGGAUUAAUACCGCAUACGCCCUUCGGGGGAAAGAUUUAUCGGAGAAGGAUCGGCCCGCGUUGGAUUAGGUAGUUGGUGGGGUAAUGGCCUACCAAGCCGACGAUCCAUAGCUGGUUUGAGAGGAUGAUCAGCCACACUGGGACUGAGACACGGCCCAGACUCCUACGGGAGGCAGCAGUGGGGAAUCUUCGGCAAUGGGCGCAAGCCUGACCGAGCCAUGCCGCGUGAGCGAUGAAGGCCUUAGGGUUGUAAAGCUCUUUCGCCAGGGAUGAUAAUGACAGUACCUGGUAAAGAAACCCCGGCUAACUCCGUGCCAGCAGCCGCAGUAACAC